rnacentral:rRNA from 1 species
GGCGAAGGCGGCUUUCUGGACAGAAACUGACGCUGAGGCGCGAAAGCUAGGGGAGCAAACAGGAUUAGAUACCCUGGUAGUCCUAGCCCUAAACGGUGUGCGCUUGCUGUAAGAGGAAUCGACCCCUCUUGUGGCGAAGCUAACGCGAUAAGCGCACCGCCUGGGGAGUACGGUCGCAAGAUUAAAACUCAAAGAAAUUGACGGGGGCCUGCACAAGCGGUGGAGUAUGUGGCUUAAUUCGAUGCAACGCGAAGAACCUUACCUGGCCUUGACAUGCAAGUGGUAGAACCAUGAAAGUGGGACGAUCCCGCAAGGGAAGCUUGCACAGGUGCUGCAUGGCUGUCGUCAGCUCGUGUCGUGAGAUGUUGGGUUAAGUCCCGCAACGAGCGCAACCCUUGUGUCCUGUUGCCACUUCCUCGAGAGAGGAAAGCACUCUGGACAGACUGCCUCGCUUAAACGGGGAGGAAGGUGGGGAUGACGUCAAGUCAGUAUGGCCCUUACGGCCAGGGCUGCACACGUACUACAAUGCCUUACACAAAGGGAAGCAAGACCGUCAGGUGGAGCAAAUCCCAGAAAAUAAGGCCCAGUUCAGAUUGUCGUCUGCAACUCGACGGCAUGAAGUUGGAAUCGCUAGUAAUGGCGCAUCAGCUACGGCGCCGUGAAUACGUUCCCAGGCCUUGUACACACCGCCCGUCACAUCAUGAAAGCCGGUUGUACCCG